GGAUGCGAUCAUAGCAGCACUAAAGCACCGGAUCCCAUCAGAACUCCGAAGUUAAGCGUGCUUGGGUGAGAGUAGUACUCGGAUGGGUGACCUCGUGUUGCAUUCC
rnacentral:rRNA from 1 species